GAUGAACGCUGACAGAAUGCUUAACACAUGCAAGUCCACUUGAACUUCGGUUUGGGUGGCGGACGGGUGAGUAACGCGUAAAGAACUUGCCUCACAGCUAGGGACAACAUUUGGAAACGAAUGCUAAUACCUGAUAUUAUGAUUAUAUGGCAUCGUAUAAUUAUGAAAGCUAUACGCGCUGUGAGAGAGCUUUGCGUCCCAUUAGCUAGUUGGAGAGGUAACAGCUCACCAAGGCGAUGAUGGGUAGCCGGCCUGAGAGGGUGAUCGGCCACAAGGGGACUGAGACACGGCCCUUACUCCUACGGGAGGCAGCAGUGGGGAAUAUUGGACAAUGGACCGAGAGUCUGAUCCAGCAAUUCUGUGUGCACGAUGAAGUUUUUCGGAAUGUAAAGUGCUUUCAGUUGGGAAGAAAAAAAUGACGGUACCAACAGAAGAAGUGACGGCUAAAUACGU
rnacentral:rRNA from 1 species